rnacentral:rRNA from 1 species
UACGAAGGGGGCUAGCGUUGCUCGGAAUCACUGGGCGUAAAGCGCACGUAGGCGGAUCUUUAAGUCAGGGGUGAAAUCCUGGAGCUCAACUCCAGAACUGCCUUUGAUACUGGGGAUCUCGAGUCCGGGAGAGGUGAGUGGAACUCCGAGUGUAGAGGUGAAAUUCGUAGAUAUUCGGAAGAACACCAGUGGCGAAGGCGGCUCACUGGGCCCGGUACUGACGCUGAGGUGCGAAAGCGUGGGGAGCAAACAGGG